rnacentral:rRNA from 1 species
UACUACUAGUAGUAAUACUACUAGUAGUAUUACUGUAUUAUUAUUACUUAUAGUACUACUAGUAGUAUCAAUCGGGGAAGGUUUUUGGUGACAACACCUGGAGAUAUCAGAAGUGAGAAUGCUGACAUGAGUAACGAGAAAUCCUGUGAAAAACACGAUCGCUUGUCAGUUGUGUUCAGUCAAUCUCGCAGAGUGAUCCGGUCCCUAAGGAAGCCCUGAAAGGGCUGCCGUUCGAUGGGUACAUGAGAGUGAUGAAGUUGCUUUGACUACUGAACCAUGCCUGUCUGUUGGAGCGAAUUAGAUGAUCGGGCUGAGGGCUGCCCCCUCUUCCCCUCGCUCUCCUUUCACUAAGAUGAACCUUGAGUUAGAAAAAGCCUUUUUGACUCAGACGUGCCUGGCCCCCUAAGCUAAUGGCGCUUCAAAAGGCAAAACUCUCCUCGUAAUUUGGUGACCUAAGAACAAAGUAGUCAGUUGUUCAAGCAGUGGUAAGGCAAGCAAGGAGCAAAGCCAGUGGUAGCAAUGUCAAAGCACUCGUUGUUGAGGGCGGGAGAGCGCGGUAGCGCAUCCGUUUUCUUGCUGAGCGCUAGCGCGAAAGCCGUUGCGCGGUAGCGCAUAUGUUUUCUUGCCAGGAAAAAAUAAACCAACGAAUGCAAGCAAGAAAACGGAUGCACGGCGUGUUAGCGCCCUUGCUUCUUGCUUUCGAGCAUACGCUUGCUGGCUUUUUGCUCUUGCAAAGCACUCACUCGCUAGAGCGAGUGCUUUGAUGUUGUCGGUCCUAGCUUUUGGGCAAAAGCAAAAAACGCUCGACUACUUGAGCUUUGACAAGACUUAGCUAACCUAACGACUGAACUCGCGUAGCAAAAAGGGCUCUUUACUAUGUACUUGGUUUGGUUGGGCUUUGACAUUGCCCUAACUACUGAACUCACUGGGGCUUUGCUCAUUGCAUCAAAGUAGCACACUAUUGAGCAGCAGCAAAAAGCCCUCAAGAGGGCUUUGACAAGAGUUAGCUAACGACUGAACUCGUUGGGGCUCGUUGGCUACAAAGCAAAUCGCUUAUGAGGGCUUUGCAAAAAGCAAAGCUCUUGUUUGAGAGUGCUCAGCAAAGUUCUCGUAAGCAAUUUGCUUUUUGACAGGAAAAAGCCAUGCCAAUAGUUUGACCUUACUACGUGGAGUAGACUGAACGAGCUAGGCGGACACUUUGAGUUAUUUAAAGGCGAAGACGGGUGAAGACUCGGCCCAGCGGGCGCUCUUUCCCAUAGGUGAGCUCCGGCUCCACGCACCCGUUAACACCUUUAUAAGCAGUUUCUAGUGUGAACCCUUCGGUUGCCUUUCUCAUUUCAGUGCUCGCCUAGGGGCCUUUGGUCUUAGAAUAGGGGUCGCGAGAGAGCAGAGCGUACCUCCCUGCCAUAGUCGCGAGUUUGUUUAUAGUCGCGACUGUUGUCAUAGUCAUAAAGGCUUUCAACUUUCAGGAAAAAACUUUGAAUUGGGAGGGCGAUCCUUUCAGUGAACUGACCGUACCCCAAACCAACACAGGUGAACAAGUUGAGUAUACUAGGGCGCUUGAGAGAACCAUGUCGAAGGAACUCGACAAAAUGACCCCGUAACUUCGGGAUAUUGGGUGCUCUCCUAUCUUUUGAUUAGGAAAGCGGCACAUACCAGGGGGCAGCGACUAUUUAUUAAAAACACAUGACUCUGCCAAGUGUUAACACGAUGUAUAGAGUCUAACACUUUCUUGGUGCUGGAAGGUCAAAAGGAGAAGUCUUAUAAGCUUUGAAUGGAAGCCCCGGUUAAUGGCGUCAGUAACUCUAACUAUCCUAAGGUAGCGAAAUUCCUUGUUGCAUAAGUAGCAACCUGCACGAAUGGUGUAACGAUUGCCUCGUUGUCUCCGACAUGGACUCGGUGAAAUUGAAUUCUUCGUGAAGAUGCGAAGUACCAACGGCUAGACGGUAAGACCUUGUGCACCUUGACUAUAGCUUCGCAGUGACAACCUUGAUCGAAUGUGUAGGAUAGGUGGGAGGUGGUGACACAGAUCUCCCAAUCUUGAAAGACCACUCUUUCGUCUAACAAUGCCUAACUGCCGCACCGAUCAUUCGGGGGGGGUGGGUAGUUUAUCUGGGGCGGAUAAUUCCUAAAGAGUAACGAACGUGUGCGAAGGUAAAGAUUAUGCUUGUGAGCGUAAUGGUAUAAGCCUGCCUGAUUGUGAGACGGACUGGUCGAAUAGAGACGAAAGUCGGCCAUAGUGAUCCGGGAGUCCCAUGUGGAAGGGCUCUUGCUCAACGGAUCAAAGGUACGUCGAGGAUAACAGGCUGAUGACUCUCAAGAGCUCUUAUCGACGGAGUCGUUUGGCACCUCGAUGUCGACUCAUCACAUCCUGGGGUUGAAGAUGGUACCAAGGGUUUUGUUGUUCGCCGAUUAAAGUGGUAUGUGAGUGGGGUUUAGAACGUCGUGAGGCAGCUCGGUUUCUAUCUACCGUUGGUGUUAAAGGAAGAACUGCGAGGAGCUAACCCUAGUAUGAGAGGACUGGGUUGGGCCAACCUUUGGUGUACCGGUUGUUAUGCCAAUAGCAGCGUCGGGCAGCUAAGUUGGUAUGGAAGAACUACUGCGCCGUAGCUGAGCUGAGCUAU